rnacentral:rRNA from 1 species
ACGGAAGGGGCGAGCGUUGUUCGGAAUCAUUGGGCGUAAAGGGCGCGUAGGUGGCUCUGUAUGUCUACCGUGAAAGCGUACGGCUCAACCGCAUUUUGUCGGUAGAAACUGCAGGACUUGAGGCUGGGAGGGGCUGGUGGAAUUCCCUGUGUAGCGGUGAAAUGCGUAGAGAUGGGGGAGAACACUCGUGGCGAAGGCGGCCAGCUAGACCAGUUCUGACACUGAGGCGCGACAGCGUGGGGAGCAAACGGGA